rnacentral:lncRNA from 1 species
CCUCACCCUCCCGCCCGGCUCGCGCUCGCUCCCGGGGCUGCCGCACGCGUCCGCUGCAGCCGCUGCCGCCGGGCCGCCGCCUCCGGCCGCUCUCCUCGUCCUCCACCCCCGCCCCGCAGCGCUCCGGGCAGCGUCCCGCGCGGAGAAGGGGGCGGGCGGCGGAGCGGUGAGCGGCGAGUCGGGGCGCGUGGGGCCUUCGAAGUUGAGAGGCGGAGUGCGGGAGACCCUCCGCUGCCCCCUCUUUUAAAGCCGCGCGCACACACCGACCCUCCAACAGAUAUCCUUCCUCCGGCGCGCCGAGGAGUCCCGACGCCGCCGCCGGCUUCCGAGGCGCUGAGGUCGAAAGGCACGUUAAACUGCUGGGCUCCGACACAUAACGAACCGACAAUAAAGCCGGCGGAGCGUUUCCGUCCGACCAGGCCCUGGCGGAGGUCGAAUGGCAAAUGAACAACGGACCGUGCGCCCACAAUGCACCGGGGUAGCAGUAACCGCUGGAGGGGGAAAGGGUGGGGGCCGGGCGGGGGGAGGGGGGCUGGGCUUGGGGUUGGGCUGGGGUGGGGUGGGGGCGCCAGGGGACCGGGAAAGGGGCCGGGCCGCGCCUUCGGCCUGGGGGCGGGGGUGCGGCCGCAGGGAAGGAAGUCGGCUAAGGGGCGGGGGACAAAAGGCCAGGCGUCAGGCUGGGGGUCCCGGGGAGGGGGCGGGCGUGUGCGUCCAGGGCUGGGCUAAGCGGAGGACAAACAGCUGGCGACUGUCAGGGUCUGGCCGCCUCCCCGCUGCCCACACGCACCUACUCUCGCCCGGGACGCUCAUUUUCCUUCCCUCGCCACGAGUUCACCUGGGACUUUGGAAAUAACUGUGCGGUGGAAGCUGCGCUCCUGCCUUGUCAUUUGCUGGGGGCGGGUGGCGGUGGUCAAGGAAGUGAACUUAUUUUGUUUCUUCACAAAGACUGGACCAGGCGGUGCCUUUCACGCGAAGAGGUUACAACCACGGACACCUCCUCAGAUACACUGUGUGCGCGAGGCAGCACCUCCGGCCCAAGGCAAUAAUCAUUUCACAGAAAACGCACCGCCCCGAGUGUCUUAUUGCUGUGAUGAAAUGGAAAUUUAAAUAAAAGGUCGAACACGUGCGUUCACUGGGAA